rnacentral:rRNA from 1 species
GUGAACCUGCGGAAGGAUCAUUGUCGAAACCUGCCUAGCAGAACGACCAGCGAACAUGUUUAACAACUCGGGUGUCGGGGAGAUGUUGGGAGCCUUGUGCCCUUUCACUUCCACGCUCGAGCCGGGGAGGGUUCCAUUGUGGUUUCUUUCCUGGCAACAAACGAACCCCGGCGCGAAAAGCGUCAAGGAACAUAACUACAUAUGAGCACCCUCCUGCUGCCCGGUUAGCCGGUGCACGGUAGUGGAGCCAUGUCAUAACAUUAAACGACUCUCGGCAACGGAUAUCUCGGCUCUCGCAUCGAUGAAGAACGUAGCGAAAUGCGAUACUUGGUGUGAAUUGCAGAAUCCCGUGAACCAUCGAGUUUUUGAACGCAAGUUGCGCCCGAGGCUUCUGGCUGAGGGCACGUCUGCCUGGGCGUCACGCAUCGCAAUUCCCCUACAACCCUUGAGGGGAGGAUGAUGGUUUCCCGUGCCUCACCGGGCGCGGUUGGCCUAAAUAAGGAGCCUAAGGCAUCGAGUUGCCGCGGCAAUAGGUGGUGAACAAGGCCUUGGCCCUGGAAUCAACCUGUCGCGCAGCACUUUGACGGAUGGAUCUCGCAGGACCCAGUGAUGCUGCCUUGUUGCGGCACUAACGUUGCGACCCCAGGUCAGGCGGGGCUACCCGCU